rnacentral:rRNA from 1 species
GGGACGAACGCUGGCGGCGUGCUUAACACAUGCAAGUCGAGCGGAAAGGCCCUUCGGGGUACUCGAGCGGCGAACGGGUGAGUAACACGUGAGUAACCUGCCCCUAGCUCUGGGAUAGCUCCGGGAAACCGGGAUUAAUACCAGAUACGACCACUUUAGACAUCUGUCGUGGUGGAAAGGAUUCCGGCUAGGGAUGGGCUCGCGGCCUAUCAGCUUGUUGGUGGGGUAACGGCCUACCAAGGCGACGACGGGUAGCCGGCCUGAGAGGGCGACCGGCCACGACUGGGACUGAGACACGGCCCAGACUCCUACGGGAGGCAGCAGUGGGGAAUAUUGCGCAAUGGGCGAAAGCCUGACGCAGCGACGCCGCGUGGGGGAUGAAGGCCUUCUGGUUGUAAACCCCUUUCAGCAGGGACGAAGCGAAAGUGACGGUACCUGCAGAAGAAGCGCCGGCUAACUACGUGCCAGCAGCCGC